UCUGCACCUGACUAGUUCCACCAGCCACGCCCCCCGGGCCCGCUGGCUACCUGCCAGCGCGACACGCGGCAACGCCCACCAGUCAUGACUAACCCAAGCAACCUCCCGGCCAUCGGCGUUUCUG
rnacentral:lncRNA from 1 species